rnacentral:rRNA from 1 species
UACAGAGGGUGCGAGCGUUAAUCGGAGUGACUGGGCGUAAAGGGCGCGUAGGCGGAUGGACAAGUGAGAGGUGAAAUCCCUGGGCUUAACCUAGGAACGGCCUCUUAGACUGUGGAUCUGGAGUACAGGAGAGGAUAGCGGAAUUUCCGGUGUAGCGGUGAAAUGCGUAGAGAUCGGAAGGAACAUCAGUGGCGAAGGCGGCUAUCUGGCCUGAAACUGACGCUGAGGCGCGAGAGCGUGGGGAGCAAACAGG